rnacentral:rRNA from 1 species
CCUCGGGUGGCAGCAGUCGAGAAUCAUUCACAAUGGGGGAAACCCUGAUGGUGCGACGCCGCGUGGGGGAAUGAAGGUCUUCGGAUUGUAAACCCCUGUCAUGUGGGAGCAAAUUAAAAAGAUAGUACCACAAGAGGAAGAGACGGCUAACUCUGUGCCAGCAGCCGCGGUAAUACAGAGGUCUCAAGCGUUGUUCGCAAUCACUGGCCGUAAAGCGUGCGUAGGCUGUUUCGUAAGUCGUGUGUGAAAGGCGCGGGCUCAACCCGCGGACGGCACAUGAUACGGCGAGACUGGAGUAAUGACGGGGGAACUGGGAUUCUCGGUGUAGCAGGGACAUGCAUAGAUAUC